UAACCUGCCCAAGAGAUCGGGAUAACACCUGGAAACAGAUGCUAAUACCGGAUAACAACAGAUGAUGCCUAUCAACUGUUUAAAAGAUGGUUCUGCUAUCACUCUUGGAUGGACCUGCGGUGCAUUAGCUAGUUGGUAGGGUAACGGCCUACCAAGGCGAUGAUGCAUUAGCCGAGUUGAGAGACUGAUCGGCCACAUUGGGACUGAGACACGGCCCAAACUCCUACGGGAGGCAGCAGUC
rnacentral:rRNA from 1 species